rnacentral:rRNA from 1 species
AACGAACGCUGGCGGCAGGCUUAACACAUGCAAGUCGAGCGCCCCGCAAGGGGAGCGGCAGACGGGUGAGUAACGCGUGGGAAUCUACCCAUCUCUACGGAAUAACGCAUGGAAACGUGUGCUAAUACCGUAUACGUCCUUCGGGAGAAAGAUUUAUCGGAGAUGGAUGAGCCCGCGUUGGAUUAGCUAGUUGGUGGGGUAAAGGCCUACCAAGGCGACGAUCCAUAGCUGGUGUGAGAGGAUGAUCAGCCACACUGGGACUGAGACACGGCCCAGACUCCCACGGUAGGCAGCAGUGGGAAAUAUUGGACAAUGGGCGCAAGCCUGAUCCAGCCAUGCCGCGUGAGUGAUGAAGGCCCUAGGGUUGUAAAGCUCUUUCACCGGUGAAGAUAAUGACGGUAACCGGAGAAGAAGCCCCGGCUAACUUCGUGCCAGCCGCCGCAGUAAGAC